GCCUGGGUGGCUCAGUCGGUGGAGCCUCUGACUUCGGCUCAGGUCGGGAUCUCUCUGCUUGCGGGUUCGAGCCUCGCACCGGGCU
rnacentral:tRNA from 1 species